GUCCCCUCUCUCUCCGUUUCCCAAUCCUCUCUCUCCCUCUCGAUCUUUGCUCCAUCUCUCUCAUUCUCCUCCCUCUCUCUCCAAUGCAUCUUUGCCGCUGGUUCUAUCUCUCUCCAUUGCAGCAGCCGUGAAGCUCUUACCCGAAGAAACACACGCCGUGAAGCUCCUCUCCAUAGGUUGGUGCAAACAAUGGAUUAUUCAGUUAUAGUGUUUGAUACGGCUCCAACUGGCCAUACAUUGUGGCUUCUGCAAUUCCCCACAACAUUAGAGAAGGGGCUGGACAAAAUGAUGAGCUUGAGAAAUAGAUUCAGUGACCUGUUGAAUCAGGCAUGAUAAGUUGCAGUUUUUCCGUUCUUCUUAACUCCCUUGCUACAAGGAUUUUUAGUUCGCACUUGUGGGAUCUAUCGGUCAUAAUUAGCAGGUGACUCGAAUUUUUGGCAUUUAUUAGGGAAUUUUGCGAGGAUGCAAUGUUAGGAAAGCUUGAAGGCAUGAGUGAUGUGAUUGCAAGUGAAUAGGCAAUUCAAGGAUCCUGUGCUUUUCAAGCUGGUUGUGAUAAUAGUGCUUGUAAUUGCAAAGUCUUCAAACAAUUGCUUAAAAAUGGAGCAUUUAUGGAGAUAUUGGACAAGUCAUAUGUGAAAAGAAGGUUGGCUUUGGGACCUACAAUAAACGUGCAUCACUGGGACCUAUAAUAAAUGUGCCACUAUGAAGAAAACACCAAAACUAGAUAAUUUUAGUAGUUGGUGGGACCCACACAUCAGCAGGUGAAUUGUAAAUGGUGCCUUUUAUUGUGGAUCACCGCUGGAUCAAAGACUUGGUACCUUUUGUUGUUAUAAGUUCCUAAUUAGUUUAUUUCUGUAUUGCAUCGGAGCUAUCCGAAUGUUGAACGGGGGUUCCUGGUAGGUGGGAGCUGUUGUUAUGACCAUGAUGAAGCUGUCCAUUUCCUAUGGACAACAAUAUGGGUGGCCUGGCCAUUUGGACAGGCCCGUGUUUAUGUAUUAUCUCGAAAUUGAUGAAGCAGAUCCGGAUGUGCGUUGGAGCUAUCUAGAUGUUGAGCGGGGGUCUCUGGAAGGAGCAAGUAGUGGGCACAUGUCAGUUACGGAUACUUCACAAAAUGAGACAUUGGAGGUUGGACCUGGGAAUUUGAAGAUGUCCUUUUCAUCAACAUCUGGACAACUGAAAUGUAUGACGAAUUAUAGAACAGGGGUGAAAGAUUUGGAUGUGGAACUUGGAAGUACUAAGCAGAAAAGUAAACAAAACCUGCAACAAGCCAACUUAAUUGAAAGGGAAAGAGUUACUCAAAUGCAGUGGGAUAUGGAAGAACUUCACAGGAAGUAUUUGGAGAUGAAGUCGAAGCUAAAGUUCGAAUAGGUUCCUUUUUUGUAAUUCUCAUGAUAGGUUGAACAAAGUGAAGUAUUUUUUAUUUAGAAAUGUGAAUGUGGGAUGCAUUGUAUGAUUUGAUUGCUAUUUGUAAUAACUGUAUC